rnacentral:rRNA from 1 species
GUAGGUGGCAAGCGUUGUCCGGAAUUAUUGGGCGUAAAGCGCGCGCAGGCGGUUCUUUAAGUCUGAUGUGAAAGCCCACGGCUCAACCGUGGAGGGUCAUUGGAAACUGGAGAACUUGAGUACAGAAGAGGAAAGCGGAAUACCACGUGUAGCGGUGAAAUGCGUAGAGAUGUGGAGGAACACCAGUGGCGAAGGCGGCUUUCUGGUCUGUAACUGACGCUGAGGCGCGAAAGCGUGGGGAGCAAACAGGGAUUAGAUACCCUGGUAGUCCACGCCGUAAACGAUGAGUGCUAAGUGUUAGGGGGUUUCCGCCCCCUUAGUGCUGCAGCUAACGCAUUAAGCACUCCGCCUGGGGAUACGGCCGCAAGGCUG